UACGUAGGGAGCAAGCGUUGUCCGGAAUCAUUGGGCGUAAAGCGCGCGUAGGUGGCUUCGUAAGUCCGUUGUGAAAGUCAAAGACUCAACCUUUGAAAGCCGAUGGAUACUGUGAAGCUAGAGUACGGAAGAGGCGAGUGGAAUUCCUGGUGUAGCGGUGGAAUGCGCAGAUAUCAGGAGGAACACCAAUAGCGAAGGCAGCUCGCUGGGACGUUACUGACACUGAGGCGCGAAAGCGUGGGGAGCGAACAGG
rnacentral:rRNA from 1 species